AAAGCCCGGGGCUCAACCUCGGAAAUGCCUUCAAUACUGGCGACCUUGAGUGUGGGAGAGGUGAGUGGAACUCCGAGUGUAGAGGUGAAAUUCGUAGAUAUUCGGAAGAACACCAGUGGCGAAGGCGACUCACUGGCCCAUUACUGACGCUGAGGCUCGAAANCGUGGGGAGCAAACAGGAUUAGAUACCCUGGUAGUCCACNCCGUAAACGAUGAGUGCUAGUUGUCGGCAUGCAUGCAUGUCGGUGACNCAGCUAACGCAUUAAGCACUCCNCCUGGGGAGUACNGUCGCAAGAUUAAAACUCAAAGGAAUU
rnacentral:rRNA from 1 species